GACGGAGGGUGCUAGCGUUGUUCGGAAUGACUGGGCGUAAAGGGCGCGUAGGCGGCCGCUUGCGUCGGAUGUGAAAGCCCGGGGCUCAACCCCGGAACGGCAUCCGAUGCGGGGCGGCUCGAGACCGAGAGAGGUGAGUGGAAUACCCAGUGUAGAGGUGAAAUUCGUAGAUAUUGGGAAGAACACCGAUGGCGAAGGCAGCCAUCUGGACCGACACUGACGCUGAGGCGCGAAAGCGUGGGGAGCAAACAGG
rnacentral:rRNA from 1 species